rnacentral:rRNA from 1 species
UACGAAGGGGGCUAGCGUUGUUCGGAAUUACUGGGCGUAAAGCGCGCGUAGGCGGAUUUGUAAGUCAGGGGUGAAAUCCUGGAGCUCAACUCCAGAACUGCCUUUGAUACUGGAGAGCUUGAGUCCGGAAGAGGUGAGUGGAACUCCGAGUGUAGAGGUGAAAUUCGUAGAUAUUCGGAAGAACACCAGUGGCGAAGGCGGCUCACUGGUCCGGUACUGACGCUGAGG